UUAAGCAUAUUAGUAGGCGGCGGAAGAUAACCCAAAAGGGAUUCCUUCAGUAAUGGCGAAUGAACGGGGAAAAGCUCAGCAAAGAAAUCAGGGACCCCGGCCUUGAGUUGUGGACUUGAGAGGUAUUGCCAAUGGUGGCGCAGGUGCGGGCCUCUUGGAAAAGGGCACCACAGAGGGUGUGAGUCCUGUUUGUCAUCUGUAGUCCGCCAUGUACGGCAUGAUUCCUCAGAGUCACGUUCCUUGGAAUUGGAGCGCGAAGGUGGUGGUGGCUUUCAUCUCAAGCUAAGUAUGGGUUCGAGACCGAUAGCAAACAAGUACCAUGAGGGAAGAUUGAAAAGAGCUUUGGAAAGAGAGUUAAAAGUGCCCGAACUUGCUGAUAGGGAAGCGAAGGGAGCUGACGUUGCUUGGUGACAUAUUCCGCGCAAGAGUAGGAUGGGUUCUGAUUGCAAUCUGCGUAGUGCUUCUUGCCGUGCGUGUCGAUGCCAAGCAAUGAGUGGGGAGAGCACCAGGGAUAAUGAUUGUUUCUGUCCCCGGGUGGACGAAGGUGCCUGGUCGCAUCCAUUUGUGGGCUGAAACAAAUGGUGGCUGGUUGCAGCGCCCUGUGCCUGCUAGGCAGUUGGGGUGCAGCC
rnacentral:rRNA from 1 species